AACUAGUAGGACAAGAACAGAGAAGGGAGGCUUAAUGAUGACAGGAAGUAACCAAGGACAAAGUCAGGGUUGUUACAGAUUGAAAGGUGUUCCACCUAAAUUCAUAUGUUGAAGUCAUAAUCCCCAGUACCUCAGAAUGUGACCUUACUUGGAAAUAGGGUCAUUGGCAGAUGUAAUUAGUUAAGUUACAACAAGGUCACACUAGAAUAACGUGGACCCUUAAUCCAGUGUGACUACUGUCUUACAACAAUGAGACGUGGGGACACACACAUGCACAUGGGAAGAACAUCUUGUGAACAUGAAGGCAGACAUUGGAGUGAUGCAUGUGAAAGCCACAGAAUGCCAAAGAUCGCCAGCAAGCCACCAGAAGCCAGGCGAGAGGCAUGGAACAUACUCUCCCUCACAGCCCUCGCAGAAGGACCCAAUCCUGCCAAGACCUUGAUCUUGGAUUUAGAGCCUCUAAGAACUACUUUCAGGUCCCAGCCAGACCAGGUCCCAGGACAGCUAUGGAUGAACUCCAACCCCACUUCCAGAUAGGAGCAUACAGACAAGUUCCCCACUACCCUCCACUGGGAAGAUGUCAAAACUUGGAAGUCCUCACCCAGCAGUCUCCUCUUUCUCAUCAUGGAGUCGUUUAAGGAUGUCCAAUAAAGAG